UCGGGUGUGGUGCAUGGUGCAUCGCUGCUAUUAUUAUUUCGAUGGGCGAAAAAGAAAACAUUGAGCAGCUGGACGGGGUUCGACUCCCCGCACUCGAA